rnacentral:rRNA from 1 species
UACGUAGGGUGCAAGCGUUGUCCGGAAUUAUUGGGUGUAAAGAGCUCGUAGGCGGUUCGUCGCGUCGGCUGUGAAAACCCGGAGCUCAACUCCGGGCCUGCAGUCGAUACGGGCGGACUUGAGUGUUGCAGGGGAGACUGGAAUUCCUGGUGUAGCGGUGAAAUGCGCAGAUAUCAGGAGGAACACCCGUAGCGAAGGCGGCACUCUGGGCCGGAACUGACGCUGAGGAGCGAGAGCGUGGGGAGCGAACAGG